rnacentral:rRNA from 1 species
AAUGGAGGAAACUCUGACGCAGCCAUGCCGCGUGAGUGAUGAAGGCCCUAGGGUUGUAAAACUCUUUCAGAUGUGAAGAUAAUGACGGUAACAUCAGAAGAAGCCCCGGCUAACUUCGUGCCAGCAGCCGCGGUAAUACGAAGGGGGCGAGCGUUGUUCGGAAUCACUGGGCUUAAAGCGUACGUAGGCGGGAUUGAAAGUCAGAAGUGAAAUCCCAGGGCUCAACCCUGGAACUGCUUUUGAAACUUCAAUCCUGGAGUCCCGGAGAGGUUAGCUGAAUUCCGAGUGUAGAGGUGAAAUUCGCAGAUAUUCGGAGGAAUACCAGUGGCGAAGGCGGCUAACUGGACGGGUACUGACGCUGAGGUACGAAAGCGUGGGGAGCAAACAGGAUU